GAUGAACGCUAGCUACAGGCUUAACACAUGCAAGUCGAGGGGCAGCGGUAUCGAAAGCUUGCUUUCGGUAGCCGGCGACCGGCGCACGGGUGAGUAACGCGUAUCGAACCUGCCUCAUACUCGGGAAUAGCCUUGCGAAAGUAAGAUUAAUGCCCGGUGUUUUCAGAGUCCCGCAUGAGGCUUUGAACAAAGAUUUAUCGGUAUGAGAUGGCGAUGCGUUCCAUUAGCUUGUUGGCGGGGUAACGGCCCACCAAGGCAUCGAUGGGUAGGGGUUCUGAGAGGAAGCUCCCCCACAUUGGAACUGAGACCCGGUCCAAAAUCCUACGGGAGGGAGGAGUGAGGAAUACUGGGCGAUGGGCGGAAGCCUGAACCAGCCAAGUAGCGUGCAGGAAGACGGGCCUCCGGGUUGUCAACUGCUUUUAGUUGGGAAUAAAACGGGGCUCGUGAGCCCCCUUGCAUGUACCAACAGAAAAAGGACCGGCUAAUUCCGUG
rnacentral:rRNA from 1 species